rnacentral:rRNA from 1 species
GUGGGGAAUAUUGCACAAUGGGGGAAACCCUGAUGCAGCCAUGCCGCGUGUGUGAAGAAGGCCUUCGGGUUGUAAAGCACUUUCAGCGAGGAGGAAAGGUUGGUAGCGAAUAACUGCCAGCUGUGACGUUACUCGCAGAAGAAGCACCGGCUAACUCCGUGCCAGCAGCCGCGGUAAUACGGAGGGUGCAAGCGUUAAUCGGAAUUACUGGGCGUAAAGCGCACGCAGGCGGUUGGAUAAGUUAGAUGUGAAAGCCCCGGGCUCAACCUGGGAAUUGCAUUUAAAACUGUCCAGCUAGAGUCUUGUAGAGGGGGGUAGAAUUCCAGGUGUAGCGGUGAAAUGCGUAGAGAUCUGGAGGAAUACCGGUGGCGAAGGCGGCCCCCUGGACAAAGACUGACGCUCAGGUGCGAAAGCGUGGGGAGCAAA